AGUCUGACAACUGAGGCGGAGAAGU
rnacentral:piRNA from 1 species